AUUAAAACAUUAAACAAAAAAAAAAUAUAAACUUUAGAUAUAUUUUUUUUUAAACAAUUAGGAAGGGCGUGUGGUGGAUACCGCCCUAGUAAGAACGACAGUUGCUACAAUGUUGCAACUGUUCGUUCUAAGAACGCGUCAGCAGAAUGCUGCGAUCCAAUGACCGACGAUCGGAUCGCACCCCCUCGGUGAGCUGGUGGUUCUGGCCCCCGCGGAGUCGGCCCCUGGCCGAACAUUGGUGCCGUGACCAGGAUGGUCUUCGCCGGAACACCGACGCCAUUCUUCCACGGAGAACGCCAUCGCAGAAUCGCUGUCCAAGAUGAAGAAGCCGCCAUCGCAGUUCAUUUACGUGUCCUCGUCGACAAGCCGCAAGUCCCACCGAUUUUGACCCCGUAAGUCUCUGUCCACGCCAGCUGGACAACCCCGCACGGAUGAUCUCCAACGUUUUCGGUCGGUCCACCGCCUGAGUGGACAUUUGCGGAGCCCUGCCUCCCGUUUUCGACAACUGCGGAACCCUGUUUCCCGUGUCAGAGUGACCCACGACCGCAGUGGGUACUCCGGAGCAUCAUCCUCGGCUUACGGCGGCUCAUCCGGCUUCGCUGUGCUGUUUCCUGAAGUGGAGAUUCGGGUCUUGUGCUCCCAGAAGGCAAGGCCGGGGUUGCCGAGUCUGCAACCUCUGAACAGUAUCCAGUUCGGCUGUUCUCGGAUUAGGUAUCCACGGUAUCAGCAAGCAAGGUAACCUUCCCAUUCCUACAAAUCCUUUUCCCAUCCAAAAUGGCGGCUUCGGCCAUUUCCCAAACACCAUCGUGACCAACUUGUGUUAGUGAAAGAGCGUUUCGGUAAAUUUAAAAACAUUCGUUUUUGGCGGGGAGUAUGUUGGAACCCUAACGUCUCUAGUGUUCCAGGGUGCAAAUUAAGGUAAACAAAGCACCCCUCGCCAAUGCAGUGUGGUGAAUAUCUGAUUGUCACCACACUGAAACACAAACACAACGUAGGGUAGUAUUGUUAUUUGUUUACAUUUUAUCUGUGAUACUUUUAUGACCUAUGAAAAGUGUAGAGUUAAGAUUCGUGCAAAUAAACGUUCUCUUUCUCAUCAAACCUCCGACCAGGCAAGUCGCCUGGCGGAGUACUCAAGCUCGGUGUUUUAUUUCACCCGUUUCCGAGCCCUGGAAGUCUGGUCCGCUGGUCAUCUUCCGCUUCGUUUGCUGCAGUAGAACCUGAAAAGAAUCGGUGAGCUGGUGGUUCUGGCCCCCGCGGAGUCGGCCCCUGGCCGAACACUUAUAUAUAUAUGAAAUGGCUCCAAUAGCUUAGAACAAUUAAAAUAAAACAUUGUUGAAGUUUGUUUAUAAAAUUUCAGGAAAAACAAAUAUUUCAGUUAUGAGUUUUUUGUUGUGCUAGUAAAAAGGAAAAAUUUCAGAUAAACCAUCACAGUGAUCACGCAGCUGAAAAUGUAAAUUCAGACGGUUUAAAAUUUGAUAGUUCAAAUUUACCAGUUUGUUCUUGGGGUUUUCUCUCAGUAUAAAGUACAAAAAUGUAAUACUUAUGGUUAGAUAAAUCUAAAUAUUUUGUCAGGAUUUUUUUCGAUUUCAAAAUUUUUAUUCAAGUUAUGUAUAUUUUAAAUUUAGCGACAGUUUAUUACGAAAUUCAAUUACAAUUAAACAAUUAAAGAAAAUGUAAAAACACUUUCUUCUCUACUCCAUUAAUACAAACUAGCUGUAUGAAUAAAGAGAAACUUUUGACGAAGGAGUUUCUUCAAUAAAGACAUUGAAAACUUAAGAAGAAAAUCUUUUAACAUUUUUUUGCAUACAUUACUUUACAAUUUUACAAUUCAUCUUAAUAGUUAUACCAUAAACCAAGUGAUGGUAUAAAUGAUUUGCUGGUUUUUAUACUCUUUGAAUUUAUGCAACCAAGCCCCAAACAAAAAUCCUGGCUACGGCCCUGAUUUUUAACUAAAAAUUCGUAAGAUUUACGAUAAACCUUUUUUCCGUACCCCAUUUAAAAUUCAAGUGUUUGGCUACACAGCAAAAAAAGUAGUAAUCCAGCUGCGUGUAAAAGGCCUGGGUGUUAGAUGAAUAUUGCAUUAUUUUAUGCAAUUUUAUGUAAUUUUACACCCUGAAAUAUGUAGCACAUCAGUAUGGGAAACCUACUAGACCGAAAUGUCAAGCCCAUAUAUGCGUUUAUUCUUUCAGCUUUACAUCGGUCUGAUGGCCGAGUGGGCUAACGCGCCAGUCCUUACUGUUGGAGCUGGGUUUGAAUUCCGCCGGUUGCAACUUUUUUUUUGUUUGCAAAAAAUGUACAUGCAGUGUGUAAUAUUAAGUGUUAAUUUUGACGAAGGUGAUGUGCAUACUUUUGCAUACGAUUCUACCAUCGAUUGAUAUUUGAUAUUUGAGUGCUCUGUACAGCAGGGCCAGAUCAUUUGCGAAACACUCCGAUGCGCUGUGGGAGUUUAGCUCAGUGUAGCCGUGCUUUGAAAUAGUCAAUAUAUUAAGCCUCUGAGAAUUAUGGCUCGAGCCUCGAGUCGAUCUGGCUCGAGAUCGAGCCUUAAUCGAGUCGAGGCUGGAGCCAAAAUUCUCAUACGCUGCAGCAGAGGGUUAGCUGAGGUUGCACACCCCAUCCAAAACUUCGGUAGCAUCCGUAGACGCUAAUCGUCAAUCAUGCAGCACCAUCUUCGCCAUCCUGUGGACGUUGUCGCACUUUGCAUAACAACUGGCUAGAAUAAACAAAAUCAAACUUUUUUCAAUUAAUAAAGGACUGUAAAACUUUUGGUCUUCGGAUAUCUAUGUUGGAAACACAUGGUAUUCGUUAGUGCGUUAGAAUAUUUAUUUGUUUAAAAAUUUAACAAUACAAGCAUUAGUGUAAGAUUAUUGUUUCUUUUGAAACAUUAUCACUUAAGAACAUGCCCAUCACCAAUUUAUUAAGUCGGUAUUGGAAGACUGUGUCACGAUUAAAUAUAUGAUAUAUGAAUAAAAUUUAACGGAACACUAAAGUAAAAAUAAUUGUCACAUUUACGGUAAAUGGAUAUCUUCCCUGCAUUCGAAUAGGUAUAACAUUAUAAUUCAUAUAAUGCUGUUCAAGAAAAACAAAUAAAGUUGUUCGUUCUACUAUGUCUCAAAAAAGUUGAAUUUGUUUUUCUAAUCUAAUCUAAUCAAACAGCUAAUCCUUCUUCCAGGAGAGUGCCUUAGGUUAGAUUAUGCCUAGCCUAGAAUCACCCUAGAGUUGAUUCUUUGAAGUGGGUUGAAAUUGAGCACGGAGUGUUCAAACAUCAACACAAAUCUGAAUCUAUUGGAGGAAGAAGCGUGGGGACUAGCCUGUCCCAUUUUGAGGUCAUGUCGAGGAAUUUCAGGUGCUCACUUCUUAAAUGGUAGAUUAUGAUGUUAGGAACAAUGUUUUCUUAGACAAGAAAAAAUAAUAAAAUACUUUCUCGCACCCCCUAGUCGAUUUACUGAAAAAAGUCACUUUUUUGAACAAAUUUUCUAAAAUCGCUUGGAAUCAAUACAAAAACUGUUUCGAUCAGGUGUGUAUUAUCUUCAAACGAUAGGUUUUUGUCCAUAGAUUAAGAUGCACUAUCAAUAUUGGACGAAAAUUUAAGUUUUUGGACUCUCCCAGGCGGAUUUGUGUCGAAAAAAUCGCAUUUUUUCGAAACUUUUUUCAGAAAUGUUCAUUUAAUUUAGGGUAGCCUAUUUUUUCCAGUGAAACCAAUACGUGCAGCUUGUAGGAAAUUUCAUGACGAACAUUUUUCCCUCUGAGAAAAUGCAAUUUCAACACUCCAGAGCCGAGAUAUUUGAGUUUUAGUGAGGAAAAAAGUGCCAAUUUUCAAAAUUUCUCAGAAUUCUGAAGCAAGGCCUACUAAUUACACGAUGUAGCAAGCAUAUGUCUCAAAGGUCAGGGUAUGCUUUUUAUAGUAAUUUUGGCCGCUGAAUCCGAAUCUGAAAUCAAAUUUCGUGCAAACAGUGAUGUUUUGGAGCUACACCCUUUUGGAAUGUUAUUUGCGUGUUUAAGAGGCAGUUUUUGUAAAUAUUGCUCGGUUUGUUCUAGAGGUCGUAUCGAGGUGCUCCGAUUUGGAUGAAACUUUCAGCGUUUGUUUGUCUAUACAUGAGAUGAACUCAUGCCAAAUAUGAGCCCUCUAAGACAAAGGGAAGUGGGGUAAAACGGGCAUUGGAGUUUGAAUUUUCCGAGGAUUUCGAAUAUGACAAAAGUGAGACUAAACAACAGAACAAUAACUAACGUUGUAAAAUGUUUGUUAUAGAAAAAUCGAAAAACUAUGAGAAAAACUGCGAUUGGCCAAAAAAGUUAUUACCGUAGGCUUAUAGUCCAUGAAAUUCCCUAACUUGAACUAAAAGAGUAUGGGUGUUGGAGGCUGUUGCAAAAAUAUAUUGAGGUUUAAAAAAAAAACAAUUUUUAACAGUAAUUUGCAAAAGCUAUGAGAAAAAGUUAAACCAAUCUUGGAUGUCUAUGGCUCAUUUUGAAGUGCUUCAAAAGACCAUUCAAAUGCAUCUAAGAUAGUUGAAAUUGAUGAAGUUUUACUUAAAUGCGAGCAAUUUUAAGAUUUUUUAUGUAUUUUGGACCUCAAUCUUCAAUGCCCGUUUUACCCCACUUCCCUUUGUCUUAGAGGGCUCAUAUUUGGCAUGAGUUCAUCUCAUGUAUAGACAAACAAACGCUGAAAGUUUCAUCCAAAUCGGAGCACCUCGAUACGACCUUUAGAACAAACCGAGCAAUAUUUACAAAAACUGCCUCUUAAACACGCAAAUAACAUUCCAAAAGGGUGUAGCUCCAAAACAUCACUGUUUGCACGAAAUUUGAUUUCAGAUUCGGAUUCAGCGGCCAAAAUUACUAUAAAAAGCAUACCCUGACCUCUGAGACAUAUGCUUGCUACAUCGUGUAAUUAGUAGGCCUUGCUUCAGAAUUCUGAGAAAUUUUGAAAAUUGGCACUUUUUUCCUCACUAAAACUCAAAUAUCUCGGCUCUGGAGUGUUGAAAUUGCAUUUUCUCAGAGGGAAAAAUGUUCGCCAUGAAAUUUCCUACAAGCUGCACGUAUUGGUUUCACUGGGAAAAAUAGGCUACCCUGAAUUAAAUGAACAUUUCUGAAAAAAGUUUCGAAAAAAUGCGAUUUUUUCGACACAAAUCCGCCUGGGAGAGUCCAAAAACUUAAAUUUUCGUCCAAUAUUGAUAGUGCAUCUUAAUCUAUGGACAAAAACCUAUCGUUUGAAGAUAAUACACACCUGAUCGAAACAGUUUUUGUAUUGAUUCCAAGCGAUUUUAGAAAAUUUGUUCAAAAAAGUGACUUUUUUCAGUAAAUCGACUAGGGGGUGCGAGAAAGUAUUUUAUUAUUUUUUCUUGUCUAAGAAAACAUUGUUCCUAACAUCAUAAUCUAUCAUUUAAGAAGUGAGCACCUGAAAUUCCUCGACAUGACCUCAAAAUGGGACAGGCUAGUGGGGACACACCACCAUACGCCCCGGGUUUUGGUUUUAGGUAAUUAUUCGUUGGGAGCACCAUGCUAAAAAGUUUUGGUGCUCUUGGACCGUCUGGGGAGGAAAAUUGUAUUUUUACAAAUGCCCUGGACACUAUUUGCCGUGAUUAUAGCGCCACCUAAAAAAAAAAUUGCCCUUUGAAAAAAAAGUCCAGAAUUGUCUUUACAUCGAAUUAAACCACUAAUGAAUUUACCACACACGUCGCUACUAAAAACUAUCUCUACUGCCACGGGUAUGAAUCUUCAAGCUCUGAUAGCGCUUGGAUUGCGCUGUAUUGAUCCAAGCUUAUUAAAAAAACGUUACCUAAUCCACCUUUAGGUGGUUGGUGCCUUCCUCAUAUUCAUAAAGUCAAUACAUUCAGUAAAAAUAGCAACAUUCCCCCUUAACAUGUUUAACAAAUCAACAAAUCAAUAUCAUUUCUUUUGAUAUGGUUCGCAGACCAUCAAUAUUUCUGGCUCAUCGGCAAGGUCUGAUAAAAAAAACCUAUCCAACGAUAGUUCGCAUGGAAGAUUCAGACAAUAUUUUUAUCACAAUAUCUGAAAUCAAACCUCUAAAAAGUGUAUAAAUAACACUUAAGUGCCAAUAACUUUUAAUAGGGUUGUCAGAUCCUUGAUGUUUUAGGCUCAUUUGAAAGGUCUUUCGAUUAUCUAACUAACGAUGGGUCGCAUGAUGGACCCGGACAUCAUUUUUACUGAAAUAUCUGAGAUCCUUCAUGUUUCUUUUUUUUAAACGCUGUAUUUAAAAUCGCCAAUGUCUCUUAGACAGUUUUAUAGCAAAUUUUUUGAACUUUAAAAAAAAUAUUAAUGGUCACUAUUUUUAAAAAUCGAAAAACUGCAAAUAUUUCACUGAAUUCAAACUUUCGGUGGCUAUAUCUUGAAAACGGAGACCCUUUAUCAAAACAAUUGUAGUGUACUUUUCGAUUGCAAAUUCAAUUUUACAUUAAAAAAUUAAAUCAAUUUUUGUUGUUGUAUGAAAUUUAGAUUUUUUUUUUAAUUUUCAUUUUUUUCUAAAAUUUAUAAAAAAAAUCUCGAAAAUAAAAAAAUAAGUUUUUUGGGAAAUUGAGUUGAGAAAUUGAAAGCUAAUUAUAAAAUCGGCAAUUUUUUUUUCGUGUAUCUAUUUUUUUUUCUCAAUAGUCCUCAACAAUACCUACAACUAUGCCGACACCAAAUUGAUCAGAAACUUCACUCAAAAGUAACCGAUAUUUGAAUAUUUACGUACCAUUUUUGUAUGGACAGCUGCCAAAAUUGUAUGGAGACUUGUAUGGGUUAUAGGAAAGGCCCCCACAAAGUGUGAGCCAAAUAAAAAAUUACAAAUAAAAUUUAUUUACGGGUUUGGCAGAGAAUUGCUCAUUUAUCAAAAAUUGCAAAAAGACCUUGUGUUACGCGUUACAGGAAGGUAGGGGGUAUCGCUCAUCUGUUACGAUUUGUUACGAGGGGGGAGAGGGGGGGGGGUCAAAAUCCCAAAUGUUGUGUUACGUAAUAAAUGAACGCUCCCUUAUUAUCCUUUACCGUUUCUAACGUCAUCCAUUCUUGAAAGUCUAGUAAGGCUGAUCUCAAAUAGUGUGCACAACGAUUUAAACAAAUUAAAUGUUUAAAAAUCGUUAUUGUUUGAUACCAUUCGUACGAAACUUUUAGGGUUAUAUUUUGGAACCAUAACAAAAAUUUUCGAAAAAACAAAUCCAAACAAUAAGUUUUGUUAGAUUUGGAUUGGCAAAUCGUGAUGAUUUAAAAAUGUGUUUGAAUUAAUUAAAAUAAAACUCAGCAGUUCAUUAUUUUUAAACUAACAUUUCGAUUAUAAUGAAAUGAAAAUUCUGCGCUCUUUAGUAUUUUGGUUUUAAAAAAAUGUUCAAACCUGUCUUUAAAAUUUAUUAUUGGAUAAAUUGUGUUUAUGAAUUUGAGCAUAACGGCCACAUUUGAUCUUUUCAAGAGUAAGGUUUUUGAAAAAAAAACAACGAUUUCCUUCGUAGCAUAAAACUACUGGAACUAUCGACAUAAACGAUUGUAUACAAAAGGAUUUAAAACUAGGGGAACUAUACCCUUUUUCAGCCUAUUUCUAUUAUCGGCCUAUCAGCACUUUGAUCAUGAAUUCCAGAGUUUUUUUUGAAAAGGACCAAUAAACUAUUGUCUUUCAUAUGUUUAUAGGACCUAAUCAAAAAAAACUCUGGAAUUACAGCUUUCAUAAAGUGUUUUGACUGUUCCAAAGUAAUAAAUAGCUCAAAUUAAAGUGAGCAAGCAACUUUCCAUUGUUGAUACAUCUGAGAAUGUUGAUUUAAUAGCGGAAAACGACAAAAGUGAUGAGAAUUGGUCGAACGGCUUAAGGUGAUUAAUAUGGGUAUAUUUCCCCUAAUUUGUUUUCAAAAAUUUAGCUUAAGAUGCAGACAUCAAUACUUCGACCCUUUGUACGACCAUAAGUGGAUUUUUGAAUCAAUUUAAAAAAAACAACUUCGCGACCCUUCUUGACAAAAAUCUUCCUAUCAACAUUGGAAACCCAUGGCGCAAAGGACCUUUUGAAACAGUAGUCUAGAUUUUUCGUAUUAUUUCAUAUCACUCCGUUAAAUUUUGAAUCUGAUACUACUUUUCAUGCUAUUAGCCAGGGGGUAGCGAAGAAGACGCCAUCUUGCAAGUUCAGAAAACGAACACUGAGAAUCAAUAUUAUACAUAUUACUAUGGUUACACGAAGUGUGUUAUCUUGGUUGAACGUUGAAAAGACCCAUGCAAAUGUGUGAAAGCAAACUGGAAAAUGUGUAAUGCCCAUUCUCAGUGUACGGGCGCACUCCCAGUCAACUCAAUCGGAAUUCUGAAACGGAAUUCAAUUCGAAUCGUUUACGUAUUCCGUUUCAAACGCAACAACCGGUACGUACUCGGAAUCGGUUGUUGCGUUUGAAACGGAAAACGUAAACGAUUCGAAUUGAAUUCCGUUUCAGAAUUCCGAUUGAGUUGACUGGGCUGUUUUGUCGACCAAAAAAAAAAAAAGUAAAAAAAAGGUAAACAGAAAAUUCACUUUUUUCGAUAUGAAUUUUCAUUUUCAUAUGAAAUAUGAAAUAUUGGGAUGGAAUCUACAAGAAUAUGAUAGAAUUCGCCAUCAGCAACACAAUUCACGCUUUUUUCAGGAAUUUAUCGUUUAAAUUGCGAAAAAUUUAAAAUCAAAAACCCAAACAAUGAUUUGUUAUGGGCUACCAUUUGACAGCUAGUGCUUUUGUUGUGGGCUCUCAUAUGACUACCAUGCUAAUGUUGACUGUUGUCAGUUUGCUUUGGUCGGAAUAAGGUUGCCAUCCCCCCGCUACUAGCCCACAGUAAUUUGGAAUUAUCUACUAAUUUCUAGUCAAUGAGAAGCAAUUGUUAUACUUGAGUGUUUAAAUUGAUAACAAGGAUAACAAAAGUGAACCGUUUCAAUCAACGUUGAAAGCUUUUCUAGCAUUUGAAAUUUACAUCAGAUUCAAAAUUCAACGGAGCAAAAAAAAAAUAGGUUUGGGUAAAAUUACAUCGAUUUCAUCGGAAAAUUACAUGUUUCGGAAGCGAAGUUUGUUUGGCAACUUUACGUUGGAAGGCAUUUAAAUUUAAAAUGAAUUUGAUGUAAAUUAGCAUCAUUAAUGACGUGCACUUUUGGUACAUCAUAAAUGAGGUAAAUUUACCCGAUUUUUUUUCUGUGUACUUGACAGCUCUUUCGAAGGGGACCAUAGUUGAUCCAUCGUAAAAUGUCUUGUAUUUUUUUUCAUUAAAAUAAAAAAAUAUCAGAAAUGGUUUGUUUCUUUUUUACCGUUGUGUGUGUGUGUGUGUGUGUGUGUGUGGUCCAAUCCAAUACCCGCUAACCGGUAGCGAAGUUAUGGGAAAGUAUAAUUUGUAGCAGACUUUGUAUAUGCCGAAUGCUGAUACAACUUAUCUCAGUCCCGGGUAUUAGGUGGUGAUAGCACUCGCGCUGCUUCCAACGACCCAUUUCAGAAUGGCAGAGAUCCUAGCGGCCCAAUUCCGAGGUCGUUGGGCAUUGUCCGGCCCCGCCUUAACAUAGAAGCAAGCAUCUGAUGGAAACUCAAUCUAUAUUUAGACUUCCAAUCCCGUCAGGCAAAUCAGGGAUCAGCGCGUAUUUAAUAUGAGAAGAUAACAUGUUUCAACACUACGGAUCAAUUCACUGCUAGAGUGUAAACCUUCUGAUGGCUGACUGCUUAGCGUCCAAGACCACCAAUCCAAAGGUGUGAGUUCGAAUCCCACCUGAUUAAAUUUCGUUUUUGUUCAUAUUAGAGUGUAACAAAAAUGACUUUUUGGUGGGCAUUCAGGGGUUUGUUCCGGUGGGCAUACUGAGCCCAAAUCCAAAAUAUGAGCUUGAUUGGACGUAACAGGAGCUGGCGCUCCGCCCUUCAAUUUUAAAUGGGAUUUAACCCGUAAAAAAUUUUUUUUUCAAAAAUGUCAAUUUUUGAGGCAUUUUGGCCACUGAAGCGUUUACCAAAAACAUCACUGGCGUGUAGGCCAGAUCCUUGCGCAUCUUUUGGUAUAUAUAACAUUGAAGUUUGGAGCACCCUGGAGCUCGGUACAGACCUUCAAAGUUUGGCAUUUUUUCGAAAAAUCGGUCCCAGCCAAAUCAAAUGGCGUCUCGGGCGUCGCGAGACGCGACGCAUAUCUUUUUUGCCGGGGCCGGUUUUUCGAAAAAAUGCCAAACUUUGAAGGUCUGUACCGAGCUCCAGGGUGCUCCAAACUUCAAUGUUAUAUACACCAAAAGAUGCGCAAGGAUCUGGCCUACACGCCAGUGAUGUUUUUGGUAAACGCUUCAGUGGCCAAAAUGCCUUAAAAAUUGACAUUUUUGAAAAAAUCUUUUUUUACGGGCUAAAUCCCAUUUAAAAUUGAAGGGCGGAGCGCCAGCUCCUGUUACGUCCAAUCAAGCUCAUAUUUUGGAUUUGGGCUCAGUAUGCCCACCGGAACAAACCCCUGAAUGCCCGCCAAAAAGUCAUUUUUGUUACAUCCUAGUUCAUAUUCAAAGUUCAAAGUUACGCAGUAGGCCUGGCCGCUUUAACGCUUGUGAUGUUUCAAUGCAUUCUAAUGCAAUGGCGCACUGCAAAUGUUAAUAAAUGACAAGAAGAGUGCUAGGCGUCAUCUAACCUAAGGCACUCUCCAGGAUCCCUUCGAAAGAUUGGCUGCGCUAGGGUCUGAUUAGAUUAGAUUAGAUUAGAUUAGAUAUUCAAAGUUCAAAUUCCUGAUUCUAAAUUCAAUGGUACACACAAAAAAAUAUUACGGUAAUGACAAAAGUAACUUACUUUCGAAUUAAAAAGUUGGUAAAAUUUGCUACAUUAAAAGUUUUUUUCUUGUUUUGAAAAUGAAAACUUUUACUGCUACAGUUUUCGAAAAUCUCAUUGCUCACUGAUUUAAAAGUUUUUCCUUUUAAUUCGACUGUAAAAUUUCUUUCAUUUUGACGUUCUCGUGUAACCGUGUACGCCUAAGUCGCAAAUGUAAACAAACACUUUGGUGGGUCUGGUGGUGCUGGUGAGUCUAGGACGAAAAGCAAAGCCGACCGCGGCAGCAGCCAGGACUCGGACGCGGAAACCUUCGUGAGCCAAACAGCAGCAGCGGAACGCCUUCGAAGGAGGGUGGUGCAGGAGCGGGACGAUGUUGAGUGCUCGAAAAGGACAAGGCCAGCUUCCUGCAGGAACUGCAGCUGUUCCACGGCCGAAAUGCGUAAGAAAGAAGCUUGGGUGUUUUGGGGGGUUUGUGAUUGAUUUUGUUUGUUUUUGUAGGUUGAGAAGUAGGAAUGUGGAUUCGCACCGGUUGCAUUCGGUAGUGGUGGCCCGGGAUUGGUGAUUAAAGGUCAAUUCCCGCGAGGACUGGGGCGAUAUCAUCGAGGAGAUGGCGCUGCCGAAGCGUUGCGUGAACAACGAGAUUGCGUUGAAGAAGAUUUACUUCCGGUUUUUGGACAAGUACGAGAAAGUUUAUUUUCAUGGUGAGGAGAAGGAUCCGACGAAGAGGAGGACGACGAAAAGCUACAUAAUCGAAGGUGGUCAGCGCAGAUGUUGCACUCGGUGCCGGCGGUUUACAACACCGCAACUUCCCGCCCACAAACACUCACCUCGCGACGGCGCAGCUUCACCCGAAUGAACCUGGACAGUGAGCCAAAAAAAAUCUGUGUCAUUCCCGAAGUAGGAUUACGUGCUCAAAAUCGAAUUCCGUUCCGAGGACCUCAUCAACUCCAUGUUCCGGAUGCGCUUCCAGGAUCGGGAACUCCCCGUUCAGGCACUUUACUUUCCAGCCGGAAAACGUCGACCACCCUUCCCGAAUCCACGGCCAACUCCUCCAAGACUAUCCUGAUUGAGGCCGGAAACGUGACCAUCGUGUUACACUGCUGUCGCGCGUCGAAACAUCCAUCCGGAACCGUCCUGGGGUAUUCGGAAGUGACCGGUGGUGUACCGUAUGAAUCGGUACAGCUUGGACUCGGAUAUUGGCCUACUUUGAGGUGAAGCUAGUGAAGAAGAGUUAAAUGCAAUAAAAAAUGUUUUUUUACAUACAGUUUAAUUUUUUUUUUAAAUAAAUGUAAAAAACCAAGCACAUUUUUCUAAAAUUAUACCUGUAGUGCUAAAUGUUGUGUAUUCUUGCCAUAAAAGGUUUCUUUUCCAAUUAAAAGUAAAAUACUUUUACCAAUACAACGAUUUUGUUCCAUAAAUGCAUAGUAGUAUCAAAAACUUUCCAACUGUUAAAUUGAAAAGUUUGAACUUUCUACGAAUAUUCACCAACGCGAACUUUUAAUCCAACGAACGAUCUUUUUAAAUUUAGAGUAAU